AAAACUCAUUAAAAAUUAAAAUUAGUUUAGAUCAUUUAAAUACUUUGAUCUCGAAGCGUUAAGUGUAUAACCUAUAUUUAGUUGACUGUCUAAUCUUUAUCGAGUUUAAUACUUGGUUAAACUUGUAUUUUAAUAUCUUAGGAAAGCAUAUACUGAAUAAGUAAGAUGAUACGUCAACAAAUAAUAGUUAUAAUGUGCAUGAUUUUUAUUGUAAGCAUCGCAGAAUGUGGCAAAGGAGAUAUCAGGAGAGGCUAUCGCUGCAAUGGAGGCAAAUGUCAAGUAUAUGAUUAUUAUGAAAGGGAAUGGUGUUACCCUAGAAGAGAUCGAUCUCAUAGGUUCAGACCGCCAAAAUGUGUACAUUACUCAGAUUGCUAUGGGUUGGAUUGUGAAUAAAGUAGUAUGUCAAAAGAUAACCAAAGAAAAGAAGAAAAAAAGAAGAAAAAAAACUUUUGAUUAACUAGUAUAACAUACAAAGUUAGUCGGUACUUUUUGAAUACCGACUAACUUUCAUGAUGGUUCUUGGUAUAUGAUGGGCUUUGGACCAGCUGCGGAGCUGGAGCCGGAGCUAUUCGAGGCUGGUGAUUUUACUAGGAGCUGAGCCGGAGCUGGAGUCAAGAUAUUACCUGCCGAAGCUGGCGACGGACCAACUCCAAGCCAGUUCCACCCUUUUGAUAUUUUGAAAUAUCAAAUUUCCAUAAAGUUAUUAUUUUAUAUAAUUAGAUUUUGUUAAAGAAUUUAAACAAUUACGUUCAUUAAAAUAUCUAAAAUUUCUAAA